GUCCUCGUGAGAUUAGUUGGUGAUAUCUCCCUCCCCACCAUGCUAUUUCCUGUGAAAGAUCUGCUUCAGCAAUAAAUGUGUGAGCCCUGGUGACGUACUUUCUCUUAAAUUGAAUAAAAAUUGAGAUUCUACAGCCAGAAGGUUAUGGUUCACAUGUCUUCAGGGAUUCAGAAUCAACACGACAUUUGGACAAUUUAAACUAAGAAGAAAGUCUGCAGCUAUGAAUUACUGUACUGGAUCUGCAGGUUUGACCCGCAUGUGAUUUUCCAGCCUCAAAUUUUAGAAUUUUCUCUCUCCAUUAAAAGCCCAGUUGGCCAUCAGUCUACUAUCUCCAAAACAGCAUGACUGCCCUUUACAGAGACUGGAGAGAGCGUUUCCACAUGAUUCAUUCAGGUGGGGGUCAAGGCCAAGCAGAUGGAGUGACUGGCUCGUGACCAGCCACUAUAUUGGGCUCCCUCUCAUAUCUAAGUAUCACUGGAGCCUCCUGCGGAAAUGGGUAAACUUUUUGCUUUUAAAGCCCCUCAUUUGUGAAGGAGACGGAGAAGCCCUGCUUAACUCUG